GCUUGUCUCAAAGAUUAAGCCAUGCAUGUCUAAGUAUAAGCCUUUACACGGUGAGACUGCGAAUGGCUCAUUAAAUCAGAAACUGUUUAUUUGAUAGUGCCUACUACUUGGAUAACCGUAGUAAUUCUAGAGCUAAUACAUGCAAAAAGCCUGGACUUCUGGAACAGGCGUAUUUAUUAGAUAUACAAACCAAUGCGGGGUAACCCGGAAUAUGGUGAUUCAUAAUAACUUUCGGAUCGAUUUAUCGAUGCAUCAUUCAAGUUUCUGCCCUAUCAGCUUUGGAUGGUAGGGUAUUGGCCUACCAUGGCUUUAACGGGUAACGGAGAAUUAGGGUUCGAUUCCGGAGAGGGAGCCUGAGAAAUGGCUACCACAUCCAAGGAAGGCAGCAGG
rnacentral:rRNA from 1 species